rnacentral:rRNA from 1 species
GUAACGAGCGCAACCCUUGUCCUUAGUUACCAGCACGUUAUGGUGGGCACUCUAAGGAGACUGCCGGUGACAAACCGGAGGAAGGUGGGGAUGACGUCAAGUCAUCAUGGCCCGUUACGGCCUGGGCUACACACGUGCUACAAUGGUCGGUACAAAGGGUUGCCAAGCCGCGAGGGUGGAGCUAAUACCCAUAAAACCGAUCGUAGUCCGGAUCGCAGUCUGCAACUCGACUGCGUGAAGUCGGAAUCGCUAGUAAUCGUGAAUCAGAAUGUCACGGUGAAUACGUUCCCGGGCCUU